ACUGAUAUUGUAAAGAUUUACUGUGGCCCCAGCAGAAGAUGGAGACAUGUCAGUGUAGCUCUGUCUGCAGACCUGCAGACAUCUGAGCUGCUGGCAAGCCCUUCUCCACCCACCCACGGCCAGGGCUCGCUGCCUAUCCUGGCACCCACUGACUGGGCUGGCCAGGGCCUCCAGGACUAUGACCUUGGCAGCCACAGAAAGAAGAGCUCUGUGUCUCCCCUUCAUGUUCCAUCCCACUGCCACAGGGCCAGAGAGAGAGAGAGACAGGGAAAUUUAUUGCUGACAUCUCUGGGCCCUUCGCCAUUAACAAAGAAGAAGCUGAAUGGGACCUAUGGAGCUUCCAGCCACUCCUUUCCACCUUCUGCGUGGCGUUGACUGCAGGAUUGAGGCCAGGAAGCCCAGAUCUUGUGUCCUGUUCACUAGAACUUUCUUCCAGAAAACAUUUCACUUUCUCAACCUUUUCCAUGCAGUGGAAGAAGGCCAUUUUCUCCAGUUCGUUACUGUUAUAACAUGUGUUGAUUUCUUCCAGCCUCUUCACUUUUAACAUCUUGGUGGUAUCUUACCCAAGAGAAAUGAGAACAUGAACACUCAGAGCUUGGCACAUGGAUGUUCUUGGCAGAAUUAUUCACAAGAGCCUAAAAUUGGCAACACCAUAAAUGUCCAUCAUUGGUUUGGUAAAAAGAAAGAGAGAAUGUGAUGUGUCCAUUCAACUGGAAUACUGCUCAAUAAUAAAAAGGAAAGAAGUACUGAUCCCUGCUACAACUUGGAUUAAAAAAUCAUUGUGCUAGGUGAAAAAAGCCAGAAAUAAAGACCACAUAUUAAAGAGUUCCAUUUGUUUGAAAUGUCCAUAAAAGGCAAAUCCACAGACACAAAAAGUAGAUUCGUGGUUUCCUGGGGCUGAGAGCAGGAACAGGGAUUAACUGUAAAUAAAAUCUUAUUGAGGUGGUGGAAAUGUUAAAAAAAAAAAACUGUUCUGUGGGACACCUGGGUGGCUCAGUGGGUUAAUAAACCUCUGCCUUCUGCUCAGGUCAUGGUCUCAGGGUCCUGGGAUCGAGCCCCGCAUCAGGCUCUCUGCUCAGCAGGGAACCUGCCUCCCUCUCUCUUUCUCUGCCUGCCUCUCUGCCUAGUU